AAUCUUCAACCCACCUGUUUCUUGUCAAACAGAGUGGUGCUUUGGAUCAUGGGCGUCUUUGCUGGCCCCCAAGCCGGGGUUGGCUCGCCUGGAAUGCAUGAGCAGCAUCGUACCUCGACAUCUGGCUUGACUUGGCGUGAUAGGUUAUUUCGCUGGGGACAACACUUCGGGUGUUGGCCGAGUCGUGGAAAGAGGGCUACCAAUGAAAUGUACUCUAAAU
rnacentral:misc_RNA from 2 species